rnacentral:lncRNA from 1 species
AAUAUAAAGAAUAAACCCACAAAGAGAGAGGUGUAAGAAAUCUUGGAAGUUGAGGCCAUCGCCAAGCCGAGAUUCGAAAAGCGACUGAUGUUCACUACAGACGCCCAUGAACACAAACAGGCACUGUGUAGGAGCCGCAGCUCAUCUGCCCGCCUGUGCUUCUCCCCUUCCCACCCAUCAUCUCUUCCAACUACAAGCAUUCAACCUAAACUGAAGAAACUCACCCAGAAUGCAACACGCGCCUGGGCCAAAAGCCUACACUCCCCAGGAUGCAAUGCGCCGCCUCUCCCGGAGCCAGCGCUGGGAGGAGGACUGGGCCCGGGGAGCCCACGCCCCGCUCACCUCGGAGCUCCGCGAGCCUUUCAGCACCUGCUUGGUGAGCGCGAUUACAUCGGUGCCACAGGUGUUCACCUUCUCCGUGAGAAGCCCCUUCACGGACUGACCAAAUCGGGCUUGCGAAUCCGGCGUCCCAGUCGCCAUCACCUCAACUAGCGAUCACCCGCAGCCGGACGACGGCGAGUCCCUGGGGCCAAAAGAGACGCAACCGUCCAAUCGUGCGAAGAGGAAGGACCGCAUGCGCUUAGCUCAAACUGCUUACUAAAAUUACUUAAAAUGUUCAGUUGAUGGACAUGGAAGGAGGAUACCGUUUAGGCAGGCUACCCUGGAGGGGAUAGAAUAUAAUUUAGGGCCAGCACUGCGUUACCUAGGCACAUUAAUACAACUCUGUCAGAAGUUCAGGGUCUUUCUUGGCUGUAUAGCAAGUGGAGGCCGACCUGUGAUACAUGAG